rnacentral:rRNA from 1 species
CCCUUAGAGUUUGAUCCUGGCUCAGAACGAACGCUGGCGGCGUGGAUAAGACAUGCAAGUCGAGCGCGACGACCGCUGUAGCAAUACAGUGGAAGUUGAGCGGCGCAAGGGUGCGUAACACGUGGGUAAUUUACCGUAAAGUUGGGGAUAAUCCCGCGAAAGCGGGACUAAUACCGGAUGUGGAAUGAGAGUGGCAUCACUUUUCUUCUAAAGCUGGGGAUCGCAAGACCUGGCGCUUUAUGAUAAGCCCGCGGCCUAUCAGCUAGUUGGUGAGGUAACGGCUCACCAAGGCAAAGACGGGUAGCUGGUCUGAGAGGACGACCAGCCACACUGGAACUGAGACACGGUCCAGACACCUACGGGUGGCAGCAGUCGAGAAUUUUUCUCAAUGGGGGCAACCCUGAAGGAGCGACGCCGCGUGGGGGAUGAAGGGUUUCGAUCCGUAAACCCCUGUCAUUCGCGAACAAUGGUUGCUGUUUAAGAGAUGGCAAUUUGAUAGUAGCGGAAGAGGAAGGGACGGCUAACUCUGUGCCAGCAGCCGCGGUAAUACAGAGGUUCCGAGCGUUGUUCGGAUUCACUGGGCGUAAAGGGUGCGCAGGUGGCAAGGCAAGUCGGAUGUGAAAGCUCCGGGCUCAACCCGGAAAUGGCAUUGGAAACUGCUUUGCUUGAGGUUUGGAGGGGGGACUGGAAUUCUCGGUGUAGCAGUGAAAUGCGUAGAUAUCGAGAGGAACACCAGUGGC